CUCUUGAAACAGAAUCUGGCCUUACACGAGAUUUAAAGGGGAACCGCACCCACUGAUGAAGGUGAAUUGGGACAGGUUCCACCAGGCUAGGUUAUGAAGGUGAAAUGGGACAGGUUCCACCAGGCUAGGUUAUGAAGGUGAAUUGGGACAGGUUGGUUCCACCAGGCUAGGUUAUGAAGGUGAAUUGGGACAGGUUCCACCAGUCUAGGUUAUGAAGGUGAGUUGGGACAGGUUCCACCAGGCUAGGUUAUGAAGGUGAAUUGGGACAGGUCAGAUGUCACUAGCCUGAUUCAAGUGUCCUCGCUGUUCCAUUUACAGCCAAGUGGUAAAUUGCUUUUUGUUCUAAAGGACAA
ensembl:lncRNA